UAAACCCUCCUUUCAUUUUAUCCGUCUUCCGUUACAGAAAUAAAUACUCUCUUCCGUUGAACAAAUAAAUUAGGGCUUUUCUUCUGAUUGAAAGGGAAGAGAAGCUACAAAUUGAUAAAUGGCUGAUCGAAAACAAAAUGUCGAUUGGAGAUUCUGAGUACAACACCAUCUUUGGUUAUUAGUUGUGCUAUUUUUAUAGCCGAUUGGAGAUUCUGAGUACAACACCAUCUUUGGUUAUUAGUUGUGCUAUAUUUAUAGCCGAUUGGAGAUUCUGAGUACAACCAGUGUCACUAUUCUCUUCUACUUUUAUCUGAUGAAGAAGCUGACAAAAUUGUUUCCGUGAUGGAUUAGUUAGUGAAGAUCAAGAGAAAAAGUCUCUGAAAGCAUUCGUAAAGGCAUCAAAGGUUUACCGAACCUCCUUUGCUGGGAUGGAUGUUGAAUAUGCUGACCAUCUGAUAGAGAUACGGUCGCAAUGAAACAGCUAUGGAAUUUUUUACCGAACCUCAUUGCGAUCAUAAAAUUAAAUAAUCUCUUUAAUUUUCAAAGAUCGGCAAUCUCUUCAAUUAUAUAAAUUGUUAUGUUGGUAUUUUAGUUGGACAAAAACCAUUUGCUUUAGCAAUCCUCUGAUGUAAGUAUUUGACAAAUACUGUAUUUUGAAUUACUAACCUGCUAAAUUGGUUACUACUGUAUAUAACUCAAAAGAGGAUGGGAACAGAUCGCAGGGGCUUAUAUUAGGGGCUCUUCCCUAUGCAGCUGUAUGAAAGUGCUUAGAUUGACUCAAAAUAUGGGGCCAGAAAAUGUGGAAUUUGCGGAGUUCUUGCUAAAGGUAUGAAGAUUGUGUUCUGCAUUUUUAUAUACCAGAAUCAUUGCAUAGAAAUUGGGAGAUCAUUCAAUUAUUUGAUACUGAGCAUAAUUCACUCACAGAAAAAUCCAUAUGAUAUUGAACAUACUCAUCCUUCACUAGCUUAGUAUACUAAUCCAUAAGGGCCUUCUGACACUUGCCUGUAAAUAAAUGCUAUGUCGAAACUCUAUGGAUUAGCAUAAGCAAUUUAGUAUACUAUUAAACAUCAUUUGAACUUGAUGCACCACCUAAUCUUUCCCAGCAUACUCUCAUCAGUUUAAUUACCACCGAAGUUCCCUAAGCAACCUGUUGCUAUUAAUCUCAUAAAUUUUGAAAACAAAACUCUUGAUAUAGGAUGUUGUAAUUGUGUAUUUCAGAUUAUUCUUAGUCACACGUUUGGCAUUUUUGUUUGUUAUUCUUUGUUGUGAUCUUUUUUCAUUAUCCUUUGUUGUUAUUUUAAAAUUGCGGCCUCUUCCAAUGUUAGUAGGCUUGAGCCGCUUGACUACUUCACUUCGGAUUUUAGGUUGGGUUGUCGCAGCAUCCAUGAGCAGAUACAAUGGUUGCGAGAAACAUAAAAAGAAUCACUACAUUACAUUUUCAGCUGAAUUAAAUUUGAAAUAUUCUCAAUCCUUUUCUCUCAUUGAAACUUUAUGGAAUGCAAAAUGUACCCAAAAUAGAUGACGGCCAAGGUGAAAAGUCUACCUGUAGUAUAGAUUGCAUAUCAUGUGAACUCGAACUUAAACACCAUUAGUGGGAAAUCGCAAUCACCUCAAAUAUAAAUACCGAAAAUCUUAUCAGUGAAGGAUAAUAUAUUCACAGGAAUAGUUUCACAUUAUUGAUGAGUUUCACCCAAGGGGUGUCGGCAUUUUUCCAAUUUUUUAUCUGAUUGUGAUUUUUAUUUCAUUCACGUAUAUGCAUCGCCGAAACAUGUUUUUUAGCUCUUCCUUACAGCGAUACUUCUGCAAGAUUAACUUUGCAGCAUUUUUGUUUCAGUUAGCAACCUUGCUUGGUUUCAAGAAUGUAAGUCACAACUGAUCGUUCUUGAUUAUAUGAGGAACCAAAUAUGAAAUGUUCUUAGCUUUAGAUCUUAGAUACAUUGUUACUCUACAGAUAUUAGUUUACCUUGCGGGUAUCUGUGGAUUGAGUAUACAAUCGUUCUCAAUCAGGUCAGACACAUAAUAUUUUGCUACUCUUUGCUGCAGCCUUUUACCUUCCCUACGUUGGUGCUAUUACAAUCAUGCCCGAUAUUCAAAAGAUACUGUAGGACACGUUAAUUUUUCAGCUGCGUAUUUUCGUAUACCUAGACCUUUUGGGUAGCUGAUGCAGUUAAAAGUUUGACUGCUACGGAUAUUCAUUGGACACAUGGACACCAGCGGGGUUGGCCGGCGAGAAAGCAUAUUCGGAAUGUUUCUCCAUGAUUAAUAUGCGAUUUGAUGGUUACAUGAUUGUAUAAUGACCUUAUUAAAUAAGUAGGUAACAACUGUUUUUGCUUGGAAGUUCACACUAUCCAACUGCUACAAAUCUAUACUUUACCUUGAUUCACCCGCAAUACUAGAAAUCAGAGAGGCGUGACUUAUACCAUAUUAAUUUUUGCUUUUAUAAUGUUACAUUCAAUCCCAGUAACAAACUAAUUUGUGACUGCAGAUGCUGUCGAAUUACCGACUGCAACCCCGGGUCCCAACCCAACAAGGGAAAGGGCCUGUAGGCAUUUUGGGUUCCUAGAGCGUCUUUUGCCAAAAUGAAAAUUCAGGUACCCGGUAAUGUUGCAAGUCGGUGUUGUUACAUCCAGCUUUUGUUGAAUGAUUUCUGUGUCGAGUGUUCUAUCCGUGUAAAUAGGGAAAUAUUUUGCAAGGCUACCCCUACCAAAAUAUCGAUGUGCGAGGCUUCCCCUACCAAAAUUGUUGGCCACAACAGAUAUUAUCAUGUAUUGCAGAGACUGUAGUAAGAAAGUUGUGGGUGAUGACGGAGACCAUUGGUGUACCAAAUUUGUAAUAGAAGUUGGAGGUCUCAGGAACAAAACUCUGCCGCCUGUUGCACUUUGAAGUUGAAUAUUAAACAGCAUCCGACUUGCACAUGGUGGAGAGGUAAAAAAAGUUUGAGACAUCUUCGUGGUUUUAACCGUCUAUUAUGUGACUUAUUAUGAAGUUCACAAUGCGAGACAACACCAAGGCGAAGGCUUGCAUUUGAACCAAUCUUGAGUCCAGCGAUUGACCUCCAGAUAACAUUCAAUGCCUUUACUAUGGAGAAAAAACCAAUUCAGAGCUUUGCCAUCACCUGGAUCCCCAUGAUCUAAUAUACAGGCUUUCAAGAUUUUUUCACAAUUUUUUUUAAUAGUUUGGUAGUAUGAAGCCGCCCCCACCCCCCACAAAUUGUAUUCGGGUUUAUAUUUAAAAACAAAUGUAUUUGAGUGUGAAUUUCAGGUCUCUAUUUCAGACAACAAAUAAAAGAAAGACAUUAUAGGGC